ACUUUGAAACUUAGUGGUAGCGCGCCAGACUUCUAUCUAUGAAAGGAUCCAAUCUGGAGGCUGUGGGUUCGAGCCCCACGUGGAAUG